GAUGAACGCUGGCGGCGUGCUUAACACAUGCAAGUCGAUCGGAAAGGCCCAAGCUUGCUUGGGUACUCGAGUGGCGAACGGGUGAGUAACACGUGGGUGAUCUGCCCUGCACUUCGGGAUAAGCCUGGGAAACUGGGUCUAAUACCGGAUAGGACCACAUUUUGGAUGGUGUGGUGGAAAGUUUUUCGGUGUGGGAUGAGCUCGCGGCCUAUCAGCUUGUUGGUGGGGUAAUGGCCUACCAAGGCGUCGACGGGUAGCCGGCCUGAGAGGGUGUACGGCCACAUUGGGACUGAGAUACGGCCCAGACUCCUACGGGAGGCAGCAGUGGGGAAUAUUGCACAAUGGGCGCAAGCCUGAGGCAGCGACGCUGCGUGGGGGAUGACGGCCUUCGGGUUGUAAACUCCUUUCGCUAGGGACGAAGCGUUUUUGUGACGGUACCUGGAGAAGAAGCACCGGCUAACUACGUG
rnacentral:rRNA from 1 species